UGGGGAAUAUUGGACAAUGGGCGCAAGCCUGAUCCAGCCAUGCCGCGUGAGUGAUGAAGGCCCUAGGGUUGUAAAGCUCUUUCACCGGUGAAGAUAAUGACGGUAACCGGAGAAGAAGCCCCGGCUAACUUCGUGCCAGCAGCCGCGGUAAUACGAAGGGGGCUAGCGUUGUUCGGAUUUACUGGGCGUAAAGCGAACGUAGGCGGACUAUUAAGUCAGGGGUGAAAUCCCGGGGCUCAACCCCGGAACUGCCUUUGAUACUGGUAGUCUUGAGUUCGAGAGAGGUGAGUGGAAUUCCGAGUGUAGAGGUGAAAUUCGUAGAUAUUCGGAGGAACACCAGUGGCGAAGGCGGCUCACUGGCUCGAUACUGACGCUGAGGUGCGAAAGCGUGGGGAGCAAACAGG
rnacentral:rRNA from 1 species